AUGCCCAGGGCUACACACGUGCUACAAUGGGUGGUACAAAGAGCAGCCAGCUCGCGAGAGUGAGCAAAUCUCAAAAAGCCAUCCUCAGUUCGGAUUGCAGGCUGAAACCCGCCUGCAUGAAGGCGGAGUUGCUAGUAACCGCAGGUCAGCAUACUGCGGUGAAUACGUUCUCGGGCCUU
rnacentral:rRNA from 1 species